GAACACUUUCCAACAUAAAAACAUUUCUAAAUCAAUGGAAGAAUGCAAAAUCGCCCUCAAAUCCCAUGAACCCUAAGAAUUGCCCCCCAAAAUAUAUUUCUUCUAUACAACAACUUCUUCUAUGGUGAAAGUUCAGAGACGCAUUGGAUGACCCUAAUUUUAAAUUGUUGGCUGCAUCAUAUCCGUAUUUUCCUUAAAGGGUUUGAAUUAAGUGGGUUAGAUACUUUGUUUAAUAACAUCAACUGAAUGCUUGUGAUGCAAAGACUGGAAAUUUGAAUAUCAUCAUUGCAAGGGUGGUUUUCCUUCGGUUGAACAAACUGGAACGUCACUGAGGCAAUUAUCCUUGGCGUUUCUUUGUCCUGAACAUCUUGAUUAAUUGAUAUACAUCCAUGAUUGUUGUAGGAAAAAUUGUCUUUGCUAUUAGUGCCACGACAUAAACAUUUUCCCUGUAUUGUAGUGGGAAAAAUUGGCGGCUUGUGUUGAAUGUGUAUUGCAACUAUAAUUGAAUGGAAUGGAAUUUAAUCCUUCAUGUGUUUUAAGGAUUUAUUCUUAAA